rnacentral:rRNA from 1 species
GAUGAACGCUAGCUACAGGCUUAACACAUGCAAGUCGAGGGGUAACGAGAGGAAAGCUUGCUUUCCUUGUCGACGACCGGCGCACGGGUGAGUAACGCGUAUCCAACCUGCCCCCAACUAGGGAAUAACCUUGCGAAAGUAAGACUAAUACCCUAUACUUUCCUCAGAUGUCAUCUGACGAGGAAUAAAGAUUUAUCGGUUGUGGAUGGGGAUGCGUCUGAUUAGCUUGUUGGCGGGGUAACGGCCCACCAGGGCAACGAUCAGUAGGGGGUCUGAGAGGAAGGUCCCCCACAUUGGAACUGAGACACGGUCCAAACUCCUACGGGAGGCAGCAGUGAGGAAUAUUGGUCAAUGGGCGGAAGCCUGAACCAGCCAAGUAGCGUGCAGGAUGACGGCCCUAUGGGUUGUAAACUGCUUUUAUACAGGAAUAAAGUUAGCCACGUGUGGUUAUUUGUAGGUACUGUAUGAAUAAGGACCGGCUAAUUCCGUGCCAGCCGCCGCAGUAA